CAUUUUUAAACCCACCCUCCAGUUUCCUACCUUUUGCUGGAGGGUGGCUUCCCUGGAGUCCAGUGUGGUGCCUGAGCAUGAUGGGAGUGAGGAUCCUCCAUCCUCACUGCAGCCGCGUCCUCUCUCCCUCAUGACUCCUCCUGCCAGAUUCCGUGCAGCUCCUCUGUUUAUGGGAGGAAGUGACUUGCGGCAGUCACUUCCUCUUAGCCGGCUGCCGGAAAGCAAGGGCCCGGUCGCAGUGUUAAAGGGCAACAGCGCCCAACUGGGCCCCUGCUGAUACAAGCCCACUGGGUGGCCCUAAGUGCAUGGGCCACCCGGUGGGACUCAGAGGAUGGGGAAAAAAAUAAAUUGAUGAGGGCAGCGGGGCCCACGGGGCAGGUGCCUCGGGCCCCCCAAGAGAAAUUGGGCCCGGGGCAGCUGCCCCGUUUGUCCCGCGUUAAAGACGGCCCUGACUUUAGGUGCAGUUAUUCAACUAGC